rnacentral:lncRNA from 1 species
UGAUCACCCAAUUUCUCCCUUUCGCUUCACUUGACCAUCUGCAGUGAUAACGUGUUUUAAACUGCCUUGUGUUCUAGAAACAGAAGGAGACUCCCCCCCCCGCAUGAUUGGUAUCAGGAGCCUUCACAAUUGGAAAGUUCACAUGAACAUAAAACAAGGACAGUGAAAUGUAUGCAUCACAGCAUAUGAGAUCAGAUAAACAUGUUUAUGAAGCAUGUAUUGCAGGACAGCUCUGAAGGAAUAUCCAGGAAUGUUUGCUUUUGAGAAACACACAAUUGGGCAGAUUCUCCGCUGGUGACAACAAGAAAAUUACCAAAAAUUUCUGCAGCAAAGCAGAAUCUUAGGAAUUACAUCAGCUCACCUCUAGAAAACAAAAUGCCUGUGCAUAGGAUCAUGGGCAGCUAUCUACGUAGUCCGUUUUAAAGCUUUCAGGGAAGAAGA